rnacentral:rRNA from 1 species
UACGGGGGGAGCAAGCGUUGUUCGGAUUUACUGGGCGUAAAGGGCGCGUAGGCGGCCACCGCAGGUCGACUGUGAAAUCUCCGGGCUUAACCCGGAAAGGUCAGCCGAUACUGCGGGGCUAGAGUGCAGAAGGGGCAACUGGAAUUCUCGGUGUAGCGGUGAAAUGCGUAGAUAUCGAGAGGAACACCUGCGGCGAAGGCGGGUUGCUGGGCUGACACUGACGCUGAAGCGCGAAAGCUAGGGGAGCGAACGGG